AAGUCGUAACAAGGUAUCCGUACGGGAACGUGCGGAUGGAUCACCUCCUUUCUAAGGAGUA
rnacentral:rRNA from 1 species